rnacentral:lncRNA from 1 species
UAAAUCCAAUCCUCGCAGAGGAUAUUCUAUCAUACUUCUGAUCCUUAUCGUUUUGGUUGUUUACCCCAGUGGGCCCACUUAUGGACGGCUCUGAUUGUAAAAAGACAAUUUAUAUUGCUGAAAUGAGCAGAACUGGAGUGCAUUAAGGUAAGUCUGAUGUAAGAAUCCAUUAUGAUCAAUCUAGAUACAUAUAGGCGUGUAAAAAUGUUGAAUGCAAUCAUUACGUGCUACUCUGAAUAAUCAGCAUUCAAGUUUGUUUUAAACUCCUUCACCCUGUGUCCACGACUUCGCGGGCUCCUUUUAUGACUUCGGCUCUUCGUUUACAAUCUUCCUUCGCCACCAUAUUUUUUUUUCGGUUUGUCUGUAAAAUUGCCAGAUAGAUUAAGGGUAUUUUCUUUACAAUCUUCCAUGUUGUGCCAUUAUUAUUUCGAUUUUUUUCUAAUUGAAUUUGAGUCUUUUGUUUGGGGGGGAUUGAAUCCGCUUUUGCUAUGUUAAACAAAAAACCAACCGCAAUUUGAAGAAAAUUGAAAACACUCUCAAUCAAGCAAUCUUAUAGGACAUACCGAUUUUCACCCAUGAUUCCAAAGGCCACUGAGAGAGAAUUUGUUAAUCUUUACAGCCCAGUCACCAUGAGAGCCAAGUGCAAGAAGAAGCGCACGAGGAGAUUGAAGAGAAAGUGCCGAAAGAUGAGACAAAUAUCUAAAUAGAAUAAGAAAUUAUUAUUAUUAUUAUUUCAAUUUCUUUACUUUCUCUCUCUCCUUUGUGGAUUUUGUUGAAGUUUUGAUAACUUCGACUGGUUUAAUCUAAUGAAUAUUAUUAGUUUUAGAUCUAAAAAUAAAAUCUUAUAGGACAUACCCAAAAAAAAAUUCGAUGGCAUAGGAAGAUUGUUGUCGUAAAAUAGAGCGAAACCAGCAAGAUUGUCGCCGGCAAAAGAGAGAGAUGUUGGAGCCGUCGUCCAAGGAGCUCGCGAAGACGUGAAUGGGAGACGUAACUUGGGGUGAUUUAACUUAGUGACGUGGCUAGUACCCAUCAGCUGCCAACUCAGGUUGUACAAAAAGAUUUGUACAAUAAUUUGUGACUGUAUUAUUAUUGUUAUUUUUAACGAUAGUUUGCAAAUGAUUUUGAGAGAUGAGACAAACUGCUCAAAAUUCAAAUAGAUAUUGUUAUAAUCUAUCUUGAAUUUUUUUAAAACAAAUCUAUCUUGUUCCUCCUACAAGCUUUGCUCAAUUUCUUAUCCAGGAUAUGUAUGAGGUUGCUUAUCCUCGUCUUGUUUGUUUUAGCUUUUUGUUGUAAAGAGCCCCAUUGUACCCAAAAAAAAAAAAAAUCUAUCUUGAAUUAAAAAGAAGGGAUAUUAUCAUUUUCCUAUCAAAAGUAUUCUGACACAUCAUGUCAGUACCACAGUUUGGUAAAGCUAUCAAUUUACCACCAAACGUUUAAACUGUUAGCAUUUUCCCACUAUUCCGUUAAACUCAGUUAAUAUGUAACAGAAAAUUCAUAAAAAGUCAAUUUUACCCAUGGAGCGUAAAAGACCAUGUAAUAAACAUUUUAUAAAUUUUGUAAUUAAAUCAUCAUUUACUGUUCUUCCUUCUUAAAGGGUAAAAAUUACCCUUUAUGAAUUUUAUAAAAUUGAUCGUGUGGUGCUAGGUGCUUCAUAAAUUGAUUUUAAGACAACAUCUUCCAUCUCUACUUACACCACAAGUGGACUGGAAUAAAAAUAUAAAAAGAAGGACAAAUCAGAAAGGAAUCAAAAGUGACACAAAUGAAAUAAGCCUACAUCAUCAGAUGAUAAUGAGAAUGACGAUUGACCCAUCUACUGUUACAUUAUUACUGUUGUUACUAUUAUUAUUAUGACUUAAUUUAUUCAAACCCUAGUCCCAGUCGCAGCACCACCACCAACACCCUUAGGUCCUGCCGGAUCGACGCUGGGGCCGGCUCCGAUGCCGUAGUCAGUAUCUCGGUAGCCAGGCCCAUAUCUGCUGCUGAACAUGCUAGCAUGAAGCAGCAAGAGGUACAAAAACUGAGUGAAUGUUAGGAUUAUGAUGAAUGCCUCUACCACCCUCAGUCUCCAUCCUCUGUGUUGUCCUAAGUUUAUCUCCUUGCAAGCCAGCCUGUUUGAUUCGAUGGGGUCAGAACGAAGAAACUGGAAACUUAAGGAGGCUAAAUAAAAAAUUCUGUGAAAUAAGGGGACCAAAACAUAAACUUUUCAAGAUUUAAGUAAGAAAGUGAAAGAAUAUAUGUAUACCCGAAGGCUAAUGCAGUUAUGGCCCAAGCUAUUAAAGAAGUUGAUCCUGCUGCUGCUAGGCUAUCACUCCUCCAAGCUCUAAUGUGGUUGCCGCCGAUGAAUUUCGAAGCUACGCCGAGAACGCCGGCUAAUAGAGCGAAGGUCAGGAAGAACAUUGUUGCUCCAUUUCCUCCAAAACCUGAAAAUAAAAGCUGCAUGUAAGAUUUGGAAACUCGCUUUCUAAGUAGGUGGGCCCACCACAAAUUAAAAUUUCGGCCAUACCCUUUCAAGAAUUUCGUUUGCAGGAUUCAAAUUCCUGAGAUUCCAACUUGGGUGGCAACUUGGGUGGCCAGUAGAAAAGGGCUUGAAAAUAACCUUUAAAAAAAGAAAAACACCAAAAAACUUACUAGGAUGAUUGGUUUGGCCAUUGAUGAACCUGUUAAGACACCAGCUAGCAAACCCCACCACGAUGAGAUACAUGAUCAGGUUCAGAAACAACAAUGGAGCUGCUAUAUUUCUGCCCACAGUCUGAGCCAUCUUUCUUCUACUUCUUCUUCUUCUUCUUCUUCUUCUCUCUUCAAACCCACAAAACUAAACAACCGCAGUUCAGCGAAAAGCUAUAAGAUAACUACGAACAAUUUUGCAGCAGUGGAAACAACCUCAACUCUUCUGCUGAUCUUUAAUCAACUUCUGCUUUCUGCUUGUGCUUUUGGUAAGGCCAAAGGAUACAGACUUGUGAAGCUAUAUAGAAGUGCUAAGUGUUUUGACUUAGGAUACGUGUAAGCAAACUAGCGCUUGCAUGGUUACAGGUGGUGGGACACUUGUCAAUGAAUGCCUUCCUCUCUUUCGAAUCUCGAAGUUUGCUUCUUCUUUUUUUUUUUUUUCUUUUCUUCCUUUUUCCCCAAAUAUCAUUAUGAGAACGGUGCAGUGCUUAUAUAAAUCCAAUCCUCGCAGAGGAUAUUCUAUCAUACUUCUGAUCCUUAUCGUUUUGGUUGUUUACCCCAGUGGGCCCACUUAUGGACGGCUCUGAUUGUAAAAAGACAAUUUAUAUUGCUGAAAUGAGCAGAACUGGAGUGCAUUAAGGUAAGUCUGAUGUAAGAAUCCAUUAUGAUCAAUCUAGAUACAUAUAGGCGUGUAAAAAUGUUGAAUGCAAUCAUUACGUGCUACUCUGAAUAAUCAGCAUUCAAGUUUGUUUUAAACUCCUUCACCCUGUGUCCACGACUUCGCGGGCUCCUUUUAUGACUUCGGCUCUUCGUUUACAAUCUUCCUUCGCCACCAUAUUUUUUUUUCGGUUUGUCUGUAAAAUUGCCAGAUAGAUUAAGGGUAUUUUCUUUACAAUCUUCCAUGUUGUGCCAUUAUUAUUUCGAUUUUUUUCUAAUUGAAUUUGAGUCUUUUGUUUGGGGGGGAUUGAAUCCGCUUUUGCUAUGUUAAACAAAAAACCAACCGCAAUUUGAAGAAAAUUGAAAACACUCUCAAUCAAGCAAUCUUAUAGGACAUACCGAUUUUCACCCAUGAUUCCAAAGGCCACUGAGAGAGAAUUUGUUAAUCUUUACAGCCCAGUCACCAUGAGAGCCAAGUGCAAGAAGAAGCGCACGAGGAGAUUGAAGAGAAAGUGCCGAAAGAUGAGACAAAUAUCUAAAUAGAAUAAGAAAUUAUUAUUAUUAUUAUUUCAAUUUCUUUACUUUCUCUCUCUCCUUUGUGGAUUUUGUUGAAGUUUUGAUAACUUCGACUGGUUUAAUCUAAUGAAUAUUAUUAGUUUUAGAUCUAAAAAUAAAAUCUUAUAGGACAUACCCAAAAAAAAAUUCGAUGGCAUAGGAAGAUUGUUGUCGUAAAAUAGAGCGAAACCAGCAAGAUUGUCGCCGGCAAAAGAGAGAGAUGUUGGAGCCGUCGUCCAAGGAGCUCGCGAAGACGUGAAUGGGAGACGUAACUUGGGGUGAUUUAACUUAGUGACGUGGCUAGUACCCAUCAGCUGCCAACUCAGGUUGUACAAAAAGAUUUGUACAAUAAUUUGUGACUGUAUUAUUAUUGUUAUUUUUAACGAUAGUUUGCAAAUGAUUUUGAGAGAUGAGACAAACUGCUCAAAAUUCAAAUAGAUAUUGUUAUAAUCUAUCUUGAAUUUUUUUAAAACAAAUCUAUCUUGUUCCUCCUACAAGCUUUGCUCAAUUUCUUAUCCAGGAUAUGUAUGAGGUUGCUUAUCCUCGUCUUGUUUGUUUUAGCUUUUUGUUGUAAAGAGCCCCAUUGUACCCAAAAAAAAAAAAAAUCUAUCUUGAAUUAAAAAGAAGGGAUAUUAUCA